UACGUAGGGUGCAAGCGUUAAUCGGAAUUACUGGGCGUAAAGGGUGCGCAGGCGGUUCGGAAAGAAGGAUGUGAAAUCCCAGGGCUCAACCUUGGAAUGGCAUUCUUAACUACCGGGCUAGAGUGUGUCAGAGGGGGUGGAAUUCCGCGUGUAGCAGUGAAAUGCGUAGAGAUGCGGAGGAACACCGAUGGCGAAGGCAGCCCCCUGGGAUAACACUGACGCUCAGGCACGAAAGCGUGGGUAGCAAACAGGAUUAGAUACCCUGGUAGU
rnacentral:rRNA from 1 species